GUAGUCUCGCACAGAUGCAUAUCAAUAAGCGGAGGAAAAGAAACUAACAAGGAUUCCCUUAGUAACGGCGAGUGAAGCGGGAAGAGCUCAAAUUUGAAAUCUUCAAGGUUUUACCUUGACGAAUUGUAGUUUAAAGAAGUGUUUUCUGUUGAAGUUUUGGUAAAAGUUCUUUGGAAUAGGACAUCAUAGAGGGUGAGAAUCCCGUAUUUGACCAUUAUUUUCAGCUGUGUGAUACACUUUCAAAGAGUCGGAUUGUUUGGGAAUGCAGUCCAAAAUGGGUGGUAAAUUUCAUCUAAAGCUAAAUAUUGGCGAGAGACCGAUAGCGAACAAGUACCGUGAGGGAAAGAUGAAAAGAACUUUGAAAAGAGAGUUAAACAGUACGUGAAAUCGUCAAAAGGGAAGCGUUUGACACCAGUGUUGUUUUUCCUGAAAAUCAAUUAAAGAAUUGAUUCAUGCCUAAGUUGUAUUAGACCUUAUCAGCUUGCAAUUUGGUUUUGGGUCUCUUUUUGAUGCACUUUUCGGUUAACAAGUCAACAUCAAUUUCCUUUGCUGUAAAAAGGUAAGAGGAAGGUGGCUUCAAUUUCGGUUGAAGUGUUUAUAGCCUUUUAUCUCUGCAGUCGGGGAGAUUGAGGUCUGCAGCGUAGAUCCUUCGGGGCUAGAUACAUUUAUGCUAAGCUAUAGCCUUGUAUAGACAACUUGCUGACUAUGCUCAGUCAUGUAGCUUACUCGCUGAUGCUAUUUUACCUACGCUUAGGAUGUUGACGCGCGUGUGUGCGUG
rnacentral:rRNA from 1 species